CUACAUGAAGCUGGAAUCGCUAGUAAUCGCGGAUCAGAAUGCCGCGGUGAAUACGUUCCCGGGUCUUGUACACACCGCCCGUCACACCAUGGGAGUCGGAAAUGCCCAAAGUCAGUGACCUAACCGAAAGGGAGGAGCUGCCGAAGGUGGAGCCGGUAACUGGGGUGAAGUCGUAACAAGGUACC
rnacentral:rRNA from 1 species